AAUCAAACACCAACCCAACA
rnacentral:snRNA from 1 species